rnacentral:rRNA from 1 species
UACGUAGGUGGCGAGCGUUGUCCGGAAUUAUUGGGCGUAAAGCGCGCGUAGGCGGGAUAGUCAGUCUGUUGUAAAAGUGCGGGGCUCAACCCCGUAAGGUCAAUGGAAACUGCUAUUCUUGAGUGCAGGAGAGGAAAGUGGAAUUCCCAGUGUAGCGGUGAAAUGCGUAGAUAUUGGGAGGAACACCAGUGGCGAAAGCGGCUUUCUGGACGACAACUGACGCUGAGGCGCGAAAGCCAGGGGAGCAAACGGG